AGUAAGGAAUAUUGGUCAAUGGACGAAAGUCUGAACCAGCCAUGCCGCGUGGAGGAUGAAGGCCCUCUGGGUUGUAAACUUCUUUUAUCUGGGACGAAAAAGGACCUUUCUAGGUCAACUGACGGUACCAGAGGAAUAAGCACCGGCUAACUCCGUGCCAGCAGCCGCGGUAAUACGGAGGGUGCAAGCGUUAUCCGGAUUCACUGGGUUUAAAGGGUGCGUAGGUGGGCAGGUAAGUCAGUGGUGAAAUCUCUGGGCUUAACCCGGAAACUGCCAUUGAUACUAUUUGUCUUGAAUAUUGUGGAGGUCAGCGGAAUAUGUCAUGUAGCGGUGAAAUGCUUAGAUAUGACAUAGAACACCAAUUGCGAAGGCAGCUGGCUACACAUAUAUUGACACUGAUGCACGAAAGCGUGGGGAUCAAACAGGAUUAGAUACCCUGGUAGUCCACGCCCUAAACGAUGGAUACUCGACAUACGCGAUAUACUGUGUGUGUCUGAGCGAAAGCAUUAAGUAUCCCACCUGGGAAGUACGAUCGCAAGA
rnacentral:rRNA from 1 species